rnacentral:rRNA from 1 species
GUGCCAGCAGCCGCGGUAAUACGUAGGUGGCAAGCGUUAUCCGGAAUUAUUGGGCGUAAAGCGCGCGUAGGCGGUUUUUUAAGUCUGAUGUGAAAGCCCACGGCUCAACCGUGGAGGGUCAUUGGAAACUGGAAAACUUGAGUGCAGAAGAGGAAAGUGGAAUUCCAUGUGUAGCGGUGAAAUGCGCAGAGAUAUGGAGGAACACCAGCGGCGAAGGCGACUUUCUGGUCUGUAACUGACGCUGAUGUGCGAAAGCGUGGGGAUCAAACAGGAUUAG